rnacentral:rRNA from 1 species
UACGGGGGGGGCAAGCGUUGUUCGGAAUUACUGGGCGUAAAGGGCUCGUAGGUGGUCAACUAAGUCGGACGUGAAAUCCCUCGGCUUAACCGGGGAACUGCGUCCGAUACUGGAUGACUUGAGUUCGGGAGAGGGAUGCGGAAUUCCAGGUGUAGCGGUGAAAUGCGUAGAUAUCUGGAGGAACACCGGUGGCGAAGGCGGCAUCCUGGACCGACACUGACGCUGAGGAGCGAAAGCCAGGGGAGCAAACGGG